GACGUAGGGCGCGAGCGUUGUCCGGAUUUAUUGGGCGUAAAGAGCUCGUAGGCGGCUUGUCGCGUCGUCCGUGAAAACCUGCGGCUCAACUGCAGGCUGGCGGUCGAUACGGGCAGGCUGGAGUUCGGUAGGGGAGACUGGAAUUCCUGGUGUAGCGGUGAAAUGCGCAGAUAUCAGGAGGAACACCUAUUGCGAAGGCAGCUCGCUGGGACGUAACUGACGCUGAGACGCGAAAGCGUGGGGAGCGAACAGG
rnacentral:rRNA from 1 species